rnacentral:rRNA from 1 species
UACGUAGGGUGCAAGCGUUGUCCGGAAUUAUUGGGCGUAAAGGGCUCGUAGGCGGCCAACUAAGUCGGAUGUGAAAUCCCCAGGCUUAACCUGGGAACUGCAUCCGAUACUGGAUGGCUUGAAUCCGGGAGAGGGAUGCAGAAUUCCAGGUGUAGCGGUGAAAUGCGUAGAUAUCUGGAGGAAUACCGGUGGCGAAGGCGGCAUCCUGGACCGGCAUUGACGCUGAUGAGCGAAAGCUAGGGGAGCAAACGGG